GAUGAACGCUGGCGGCGUGCCUAAUACAUGCAAGUCGAGCGAACUGACGAGGUUCUUUCUGCUCUGUCGUUAGCGGCGGACGGAUAAGUAACACGUCGCUCCACUACCUAUCAGAACGGGGCAAAUUCGGGACAACGGACCUAAUACCGCCGAUUUUAUUGAACCGCCUGGGUAAAUAUUGCAAUAGGCUUUUGGUGACGCUUAUAGGUUAUCCCGCUGCGCAUUAGCUAGUGGGUAAGGUAACGGCUUACCAAGGCGAGGAUUCGUAGCCGACCGGAGAGGGUGGUCGGCCACACUGGAACUGAGACACGGUCCAGAGUCCUACGGAAGCCAGCAGUAGGGAAUCGUCCGCAAUGGGCGAAAGCCUGACGGAGCAGCGCCACGUGAGUGAUGAAGGUCGUCGGAUCGUAGAACUCUGUUAUUAGGGAAGAACAAAUGUUUAAGGAACUAUGCACGUCUUGACGGUACCUAAUCAGAAAGCCACGGCUAACUACGUG
rnacentral:rRNA from 1 species